rnacentral:ncRNA from 1 species
GAUCAAGCUAUAAAGAGCGCAGGGUGAAUGCCUUGGCACCAAGAGCCGAAGAAGGACGUGGUUAACUGCGAUAAGCCAUGGGGAGCCGUAAGCAGGCUUUGAUCCAUGGAUUUCCGAAUGGGGAAACCCGGUAUGAGCAAUCAUAUCAACAUAACAUGAAUCCAUAGUGUUAUGUGGGGAACCCGGUGAACUGAAACAUCUAAGUAGCCGGAGGAAAAGAAAGAAACAUCGAUUUUCUCAGUAGCGGCGAGCGAACGGGAAAGAGCCCAAACCGAAUGUCUACGGACGAUCGGGGUUUAGGACUUGCGGAAUCAGGAAGACACGAAGCAGAACAUGGUUGGAAAGCCAGACCAAAGACGGUAACAGUCCGGUACGCGUAAGUGGCGAAUGAGGCGAGUAUCCAGAGUACCACAGGACACGAGGAAUCCGGUGGGAAGAUGGGGGGACCAUCCCCCAAGGCUAAAUACUACUUGGUGACCGAUAGAGAAAUAGUACCGUGAGGGAAAGGUGAAAAGCACCCCGGGAGGGGAGUGAAAGAGAACCUGAAACCCUGUGUUUACAAGCAGAGGGAGCGAAAGCGACCUCGUACUUUUUGUAGAACGGGCCGGCGAGUUACUGUAUGCAGCGAGGUUAAGGUGUAGAGCACCGGAGCCGCAGGGAAACCGAGUCUCAAAUGGGCGGAUAGUUGCAUAUAGUAGACCCGAAACCGGGUGACCUAUCCAUGGACAGGUUGAAGCGACGGUAAGACGUCGUGGAGGACCGAACCAGACGUAUGUUGAAAAAUGCGGGGAUGAGCUGUGGAUAGCGGAGAAAUUCCAAUCGAACUCGGAGAUAGCUGGUUCUCCCCGAAAUAGCUUUAGGGCUAGCCUCGUGAGAGAUUAUCGGGGGUAGAGCGCUGAAUGGGCUAGGGGGCCACAAAGCUUACCGAACCCUAUCAAACUACGAAUACCGAAUAAUUGAUUCACGGGAGUCAGACGGCGGGAGAUAAGUUUCGUCGUCAAAAGGGAAACAGCCCAGAUCAACAACUAAGGUCCCAAAGUAACGGUUAAGUGGGAAAAGAUGUGCAAUUGCACAGACAACCAGGAUGUUGGCUUAGAAGCAGCCACACAUUUAAAGAGUGCGUAAUAGCUCACUGGUCGAGUGAAUGUGCGCUGAAAAUGUACCGGGGCUAAACCGUACACCGAAGUUUUGGAAUCACGCAAGUGAUUGGUAGGGGAGCAACGAAUACGGGCAGAAGCAGAAUCGUGAGAGACUGUGGACUGUAUUGGAGAGAGAAUGCCGGCAUGAGUAGCGAGAGCAAAGUGAGAAUCUUUGCCGUCGAAAGCCUAAGGUUUCCUGAGGAAGGUUCGUCCUCUCAGGGUAAGUCGGGGCCUAAGCCAAGGACAAUAGUCGUAGG